CAAAUAGUUUCCUGAAACUGACCAUUCCAACAAAGCCUUCUAGAACUCCAUCACUGUACUGUUCUGCACACUGGGGACUCCACGGAGCACACAGCAGACAAGUUUUUGCCCAUGUGGAGCUUCUAGUGGAAGGGAGAUGGGGUGUUGGACCAUAACCUUGAGAACAGAAACCAAAGAUGAUUCCAGUCUGUGAUAUGUAAAAAGAGAGGAUGCCAGGGAACAGAAAGUGAGUCGUGGAGGGCUACUCUGGAGAGAAUGGCAGAGAAGGCCUCUGAUGAGGAGAUGCUACACUGAACUCUGAAGGAUGAAAAGGGCCUGAAGGUAUUCCUGUCUCUGAGACUGUGUUCUCACAUCACUCCCCUGA
rnacentral:lncRNA from 10 species